UCCAGACUCCUACGGGAGGCAGCAGUGAGGAAUAUUGGUCAAUGGGCGGGAGCCUGAACCAGCCAAGUCGCGUGAGGGAAGACGGUCCUAUGGAUUGUAAACCUCUUUAGGCGGGGAGCAAUGCCGGGCACGCGUGUCCGGAGGGAGAGUACCCGUAGAACAAGCAUCGGCUAACUCCGUGCCAGCAGCCGCGGUAAUACGGAGGAUGCGAGCGUUAUCCGGAUUUAUUGGGUUUAAAGGGUGCGCAGGCGGCACGGCAAGCCGGCGGUCAAAUCGCGGGGCUCAACCCCGCCCAGCCGUCGGAACUGCCGGGCUAGAGUGGGCGAGAAGUGCGCGGAAUGCGUGGUGUAGCGGUGAAAUGCAUAGAUAUCACGCAGAACUCCGAUUGCGAGGGCAGCGCACCGGCGCCCUACUGACGCUCAGGCACGAAAGCGUGGGUAUCGAACAGGAUUAGAUACCCGAGUAU
rnacentral:rRNA from 1 species